AUUGAACGCUGGCGGCAGGCCUAACACAUGCAAGUCGAGCGAGGGGCGGACGGGUGAGUAAUGUAUGAGGAUCUGCCCGAUGGAGGGGGAUAACUACUGGACAGGGUCGCUAACACCGCAUACUAUCAGAUGACCCCAUAUGGGAUUAACUUGUAGGUGAGGUAAGGGCUCACCUAGGCGACGCUCUCUAGCUGGUCUGAGAGGAUGAUCAGCCACACUGUAACUGAGACACGGCCCAGACUCAUACGGGAGGCAGCAGUGGGGAAUAUUGCACAAUGGGCGUAAGCCUGAUGCAGCCAUGCCGCGUGUAUGAAGAAGGCCUUGGGGUUGUAAAGGACUUUCAGCGGGGAGGCGUUACCCGCAGAAGAAGCACCGGCUAACUCCGUGCCAGCAGCCGCGGUAAUUC
rnacentral:rRNA from 1 species